CGGUAGUCUGGCUCAGAACGAACGCUGGCGGCGCGCUUAAGCAUGCAAGCGAACGGCGAAGAGGUAGCAAUACCUCCUAGAGUGGCGGACUGGUGAGUAACACGUGGUGACAUACCCUUCAGAUGGGGAUAGCUAUUAGAAAUAGUAGAUAAUACCGAAUACGAGCACAGGGGUUAGAGAUCGUGUGAGGAAAGGAGCUAAGGCUCCGCUGAAGGAAUGGCCUGCGGCCCAUUAGCUAGUUGGUGAGGUAAGAGCCCACCGAAGGCGAUGAUGGGUAUCCGGCCUUAGAGGGUGAACGGACACAUUGGGACUGAGAUACGGCCCAGACUCCUACGGGAGGCAGCAGCUAAGAAUAUUCCGCAAUGGACGAAAGUCUGACGGAGCGACGCCGCGUGGAUGAAAAGGAAGGCCGGAAGGUUGUAAAAUCCUUUUGAAACUGAAGAAUAAGCGUUGUAGGGAAUGACAGCGUGGUGACAGUAGGUUUUGAAUAAGCAACGGCCAAUUACGUGCCAGCAGCUGC
rnacentral:rRNA from 1 species